rnacentral:rRNA from 1 species
AUUGAACGCUGGCGGCAGGCCUAACACAUGCAAGUCGAACGAGUGGCGGACGGGUGAGUAAUGUCUGGGAAACUGCCUGAUGGAGGGGGAAAACUACUGGAAACGGUAGCUAAUACCGCAUACCAUCAGAUGUGCCCAGAUGGGAUUAGCUGGUUGGUGGGGUAACGGCUCACCAAGGCGACGAUCCCUAGCUGGGCUGAGAGGAUGACCGGCCACACGGGAACUGCGACACGGUCCAGAUUCCUACGGGAGGCAGCAGGGGGGAAUAUUGCAAAAGGGGCGAAGGCCUGCUGCAGCCAUGCCGCGUGGAUGAAGAAGGCCUUCGGGUUGUAAAGUACUUUCAGCGGGGAGGCGUUACCCGAAGAGGAAGCACCGGCUAACUACGUGCCAGCAGCCGCGGUAAUUC